GACGAACGGAGCGAACGUUGCUCGGAAUCACUGGGCUUAAAGGGCGCGUAGGCGGAUUCUCAAGUCCGGGGUGAAAUCCCACAGCUCAACUGUGGAACUGCCUCGGAUACUGGGAGUCUCGAGGGUGGCAGGGGUAUGCGGAACUAUCGGUGGAGCGGUGAAAUGCGUUGAUAUCGAUAGGAACUCCGGUGGCGAAGGCGGCAUACUGGUCCACUUCUGACGCUGAGGCGCGAAAGCCAGGGGAGCGAACGGG
rnacentral:rRNA from 1 species